UGUGAGGUGGCGCACGGGUGAGUAACACGUAGGUAAUCUGCCUUCAGGUCUGACAUAACCCCGAGAAAUCGGGGCUAAUAGCAGAUGAUGCAGCGGCUUGACAUCAAGACAGUUGUUAAAGCUUCGGCGCCUGAAGAUGAGCCUGCGUCUGAUUAGCUAGUUGGCGGAGUAAUAGCCCACCAAGGCGACGAUCAGUAGCUGGUCUGAGAGGAUGAUCAGCCACACUGGAACUGAGACACGGUCCAGACUCCUACGGGAGGCAGCAGUAAGGAAUAUUGCUCAAUGGGAGAAAUCCUGAAGCAGCAACGCCGCGUGAGGGAUGAAGGGCUUUUGCUCGUAAACCUCUGUAGUGAGGGAAAAAAUUUCCAUUCUAUGGAAUAUGAUGGUACCUCAAAAGUAAGCCCCGGCUAACUACGUG
rnacentral:rRNA from 1 species